AAGCGCUCUAUUAGUGAAGUUGUGUUAUAUUUUUUUAUAUAGGCUUGAUAUGUAGGUGUGAACUUUUGUUGUUGUUGUAAAUGACAUAUUACACUUGAUUUUGUGGAAGCCGAAACAGCUCGGGGACCCCAAUUUGAGGACCACUAUUAGUGUGUGAUACCCUUAUAUCAUUGACAUCAAUACAAGUAUCCACAGUCAAUCAAAGUUCCAACAAGCAGGGUGUGAUCCUCACCACCUGUGCCGAACAGAAGUCACCAGCAACAAGUGUCCAGGCCGUAGACGCACAACUUAAGGCUUUUUACACAAGAUCGAGCCACAAGAUCACAAACAACCAUAAGCAAGUAGAACUGUUUGAUAUCACAUGCUGGUUUUAACACAAUUUAAUAUGAACGGGG